ensembl:lncRNA
CGUCGUGUUAAUAUUUGACACUGUAUUGAUCUGUGCUUCUGUUUGUUUCAUAUAGUGGCAUUAGUGCUGAGGUUUGCCUUUGAUUCACGUUCCAAGUAAAGGGGCUCUAAAACUCUUCUCCAUAUAUAAAAACACAGGCCCCCAAUUAACGAUUCGAGGUAAAGUUCAGGGGCAAAAGUCUUUAAAUAACUGAAUAUUCUUUAUUCCCCAUUAAGAAAUGUUAAACGGACAAUCUGUUUUAUAAUUUUCAGUCUCUUUUGCUACCUUUUUAUGCCUAGUAAAUUGCAGUGAAAACAAAACUUCUGAAAUCUUUUAUCUGAAAAGUUUUAUCUUUAUUUCUUACUUUAUUUUGCAGAUUACUAUGAAUAUACUUUUUUAUGAAUUUUACUUUUAUGCGUUUAAUGAAUUACUUUAACUGUACAGUCGUCACACAUUAUCAGUUGCACAUAUAAUUCUAGGUAAAACAAUUAUAAGAAAAUAUAAUUUGAUAUUUGUAAAUUUAGAAUUACUGUAGAUUACCUGUUCCCAUGCGCCUUUUUGUGACAUUUAUUUCUACGCGUUGCUUUUCUAAUGUUUACUAUCUGUCCACCACUGCUGUAUAUAGUUAAAAGAUAUACAAAUUCUGGUUUCAUAGGCAAGGAGAGACGCCUAGGUAGGCCUCAACCGAAAAACCCUCCAUCACCCCCUACAUACACACACACCGCUGCGCACGUCACGGAGACACGAGUGCGAAUGAAAAAUAUCGACCACUAUGAGAAUGUGCGCAGAUGUGGCUGGCUGCUAAAUUUCGUGCUUGAAUACGAUCUUUUUCAUCACAUUAAUGGUCGAUGGUGAUAAUGCAAAGUCUGUGACCUGGCUUGCCAUUUUUUGUUUAUGUGAAAAUAAAUUAUAUCGUGAGCCAGAGAGUUUGUUGCCACUGUAAAUUCCUGAAUUCAUAAUGAGCGCUGUUAGCUUCAGGAGUCUUGAAGCGUCACCUUUGACAUGUCCCCUAUGCGCACGAGCGGGGGCCCGGGGCUGUGGGCCCCAGGACUGACCACUGCAAGCUGUCAAGCUGUCACCCCACCCGGGCUUGGACGCUUUCGCCGGGCUCCUAACAGUCCAGUUAUCCCGCUCUCUCGCUUGACUGGACAUGAAACUGACUUUUUGGAGUCGAUUUUUAACUAUAAACAAUGUGUAGUCGUGCAAAGUGAUAUCUCUUUAAUGUAUGUGUGGGGGUGUGGUGGGGGAUCCUGUAACUGCCUUGGUAAUUUUUGUCUUGCCAACCAAAAAAAAUUAUUGGUUCUUUUUGUUCUUUUAAAAACGUAUGUGUACAAAUUCAGCAUGGACGAAUUGUGUUAUAGAUUUUGAUCUGCCUCCUAUCUUUUACACAAUCUACAUUAAUUGUGUUUAUAUAGAUUGAAUUUGCUAACUGCAUUUUGCAAAGUCGGAUUGACACUUUUUUAACUGUUUAAAAUACAAACGAAUUUUUGUAACACUGAUUUGGCAUAUAAAUGGGUUUUGCCUAUUCAUUUUUGUGCAGAAUGAAGUUUACCCAUGAAACAUAAUGUGCUGUGUCAUUAUUCUGCCAGGCCGCGGAAGCGGGACACACUCCUGAUGGCUUGGUUCGUUACUCUUAAUAGCACAACAAUAGAAACAUCUGUCCAGCCUUUCUUUGCCUAUUACCAAUCCGUCUGUCCUUGAUCCCAAAAAACACUACAGCUCUGCAUGGUACAGGAUGAGUAAUAUUCAGCAAUCUGUAUACUUUUUUUUCAUUAAAAAUAUAUAUUUAUUUAUUCUGUGUGUCAGACCUCUCUUAUUUCAACUGAAUGUCAAUUUGUAGCCUAUAUACAUUAUAUUGAUAAUAUCUGCAAUCAUAUGUGCAUGCGUAUAAACAUUUCUCUGAAGCUUGGAGCAGGACAGAAACUAAUGUAGGCUAUAUGUAUAUUAAUGCAAGCAGAAGCCUCCAGGUGAACCCGGAAGUUUUCUACACCCAUCGCAUUAAGGAGGUUCUGCAAAACUAAUUGCAUUUAUUCAUGAAUUAU